rnacentral:lncRNA from 1 species
AUUGCGGCGACCGUGGAGACUUUUAAAAUAGAGGCCAACAUGACCGGGCAAGAAGAGCAGGGUCCUUCCUUCAGGUGUUUGGGACUCAACUGAGGGUGUGGGUGCCCCGCGGUGGGGGCUGAACCUUCCUGGGGUGUGGAGAGACGAAGGAGCCCAGAUCCAAGUUCCUUCGUUCCCGCUUUGGCACAAGUUGCCCGGGCGGUCUCAUGAGAGAGAGAGAGAGCUGGGACCCUCCUGGCCCCAGUGAGUGUGGUGUCUUGCUCCGGGUGUCCUGGGGCAACUUUCUAUAUAAAGGCGGGACGUGGGGAGGAUGAGACAGUUAACGUGAGACAAGGGUGUUGACUGUGCAGCGCAGAACCAGUAGUUUGUAGAGAAGAACCAGGUGUGAUGUUGAAUCUGCUAGACAGGCUACUGAAGCAAAAGUCAAGAGAUCCAGAUCCCAUCAUGGGGACACUUUAGAUUGAUACCGGAAAAGCCAUUUCCUAUUGAGCCCAAAAUGAAGAGAGUGCAAAUAAAGAGAAGGCAGGAAUCACAAGCCCUUGACAGACACAUUGCCACCUACAGGACCCUGCACCCAGAUUUCAUCUGCACAAUCAGCUUCUUCAAAGAGAGAGAGGCUGUCAAGGAUAGCCUUGCAAGGAAGCUACUUUCCUUCGGCACACAUAGACAGGACUCUACCAGAUAGCAAACAGGAUGUACACUGCAGUGUUUGACUUUCAUGACUGUCCCCACACAGCACCACUUAGUGGAUAAGUCUGUCCAACUCUGGGGUUCAUUAAGAAGAAAUGUCUUUUCGGCAGAUCUAAGGUACCUUUUCCAAUUUCACCUUUAUAAAGAAUAGAGUCAAUGUAUUGCUUUCUUUAUCGGUUUGGCAUAUUUUUUAGUUGGCUUAGAGCUCAGACUUGUAGAGGGGGUAUAUUUGGGGAACCCCUUUAAGUCCCAAGCAUUUUGGAGUAAGACCAUAGUAAUAGUUGGGGAGCCAGCAAAAAGAGGAAAGAGGAGAAGAGCUGCAGGCCUGUUGUUAGACCUAUCCCCCAAACCCCCAGGGACAUAGCAGAACAUAUGCUGGUUAAUUGCUUAUUACUACCA